UACAGAGGUCUCAACCGUUGUUCGGAUUCAUUGGGCGUAAAGGGUGCGUAGGCGGUCGUGUAAGUCGGACGUGAAAUCCCUCGGCUUAACCGGGGAACUGCGUCCGAUACUGGAUGACUUGAGUUCGGGAGAGGGAUGCGGAAUUCCAGGUGUAGCGGUGAAAUGCGUAGAUAUCUGGAGGAACACCGGUGGCGAAGGCGGCAUCCUGGACCGACACUGACGCUGAGGAGCGAAAGCCAGGGGAGCAAACGGG
rnacentral:rRNA from 1 species